rnacentral:rRNA from 1 species
AGAGUUUGAUCCUGGCUCAGGAUGAACGCUAGCGGCAGGCCUAAUACAUGCAAGACGAACGGUAACUUUGGUAGCAAUAUUGAAGCAAGAGUGUCGUAAGGGUGCGUAACACGUAUGCAAUCUGCCCUCAACAGGAGGAUAGCUCCCCGAAAGGGGAAUUAACACUCCAUAAGAUCAUGGUGUGGCAUCACACAGUGAUUAAAACUACGGUGGUUGAGGAUGAGCAUGCGCAUGAUUAGUUAGUUGGCGGGGUAACGGCCCACCAAGACGAUGAUCAUUAGGGGAACUGAGAGGUUGAUCCCCCACACUGGCACUGAGAUACGGGCCAGACUCCUACGGGAGGCAGCAGUAGGGAAUAUUGGACAAUGGGUGCGAGCCUGAUCCAGCCAUGCCGCGUGCAGGAAGACGGCCUUCUGGGUUGUAAACUGCUUUUGCCAGGGGAUAAAAAGUCCCUGCGGGGAAAAUUGAAGGUACCUGGUGAAUAAGCCACGGCUAACUACCUGCCAGCAGCCGCGGUAAUAC